rnacentral:rRNA from 1 species
GUCUAUGGCCAUACCACCCUGAACAUACCCAGUCUCAUCUGAUCUCAGAAGCUAAAUAGGGUCGGACUUGCCUACUUCUUGAAUGGGAGUUUAGAAAUUUAAAAAUUAGACU